AUUGAACGCUGGCGGCAGGCCUAACACAUGCAAGUCGAGCGAGCGGCGGACGGGUGAGUAAUGUCUGGGGACCUGCCCGAUGGAGGGGGAUAACUACUGGAAACGGUAGCUCAUACCGCAUACCAUCAGAUGUGCCCAGAUGGGAUUAGCUAGUAGGUGUGGUAACGGCUCACCUAGGCGACGAUCCCUAGCUGGUCUGAGAGGAUGACCAGCCACACUGGAACUGAGACACGGUCAAGACUCCUACGGUAGGCAUCAGUGGGGAAUAUUACACAAUGGGGGCAAGCCUGAUGCAGCCAUGCCGCGUGUGUGAAGAAGGCCUUCGGGUUGUAAAGCAGUUUCAGCGGGGAGGCGUUACCGGCAGAAGAAGCACCGGCUAACUCCGUGCCAGCAGCCGCGGUAAUUC
rnacentral:rRNA from 1 species